rnacentral:lncRNA from 1 species
CCCCCCCCCUGCUUCUCGGGGACCCUGUUGGCUCCUGAACCACCCUCUAACAAAACCCCCAUUAAAAUGCAUAAGACCUCCCUGGGCACUGCAGCAGCAGCAGCGGCAGCAGCAGCACGGAUGACCUGUUUGGUAUCAGGUGUGAUGUGCCACUAAAGUGACCUUCUCCAUCUGAUCCUCUGGUCGGAUACACAGGGAGACAGAGCUGGACGGGCCGGCAGGAGCCCACGAUCGAUUCUCCAGCGAGAGGUCUGUUCCUGCAGUCUGUGACUUUGCUGGCUGCUCCCCGAGGAGGCCGGUGGAAAGUGGGGCACAGGCAGAGGGCCAAAUGGAGGAGAUUUGGAAGAGAAAGCGGGAAGAAAGGGAAAGUCUUCACGUUAAAGCUGGUGACUUUCAACAUUUUUCUCAUCGUCAACAAAUCUCCCGAAAACCAACAUCGAAUUGCUUCUUCUAACAGAGUCACGUCUUCAGUGGGAAGCAAUGCUCUCGGAUGUGCGAGCCACAGACAGGGUCAGAAAGUAUUGAAAGAGGGACUAACAUACCAUUAGUUUGGAUUCGUUGACGACUACAUUCAUCUUUUUUACCCACACUGCAUGGGUUUUUUCUGUUAUAUCACAAGUUGAAAUUCAUGCCACGAAAUAAAUAACGUGACCACUUACAAUGUUAACGUAACUCUUUGUAAGUACAGCUUCUGACUCAGAGAAAUAACAUUAAGUUUUAAUGUAAAGUGUUUCAUCAAUAUGAAGUUUACCAAAGUUCUGUAUACUGUGCUAUUAUCACUGUAUUCCAGGGUUUAUUAUCACCGUGACAACCAG